rnacentral:rRNA from 1 species
AAAAUGACUCUCGACAACGGAUAUCUCGGCUCUCGCAUCGAUGAAGAACGCAGCGAAAUGCGAUACUUGGUGUGAAUUGCAGGAUCCCGCGAACCAUCGAGUCUUUGAACGCAAGUUGCGCCCUAAGCCUUCCGGCCGAGGGCACGUCUGCCUGGGUGUCAUUC